rnacentral:rRNA from 1 species
AUUGAACGCUGGCGGCAUGCCUUACACAUGCAAGUCGAACGGUAACAGGUCUUCGGAUGCUGACGAGUGGCGAACGGGUGAGUAAUACACCGGAACGUGCCCGAUCGUGGGGGAUAACGGAGCGAAAGCUUUGCUAAUACCGCAUACGAUCUACGGAUGAAAGCAGGGGACCGCAAGGCCUUGCGCGGACGGAGCGGCCGAUGGCAGAUUAGGUAGUUGGUGGGAUAAAAGCUUACCAAGCCGACGAUCUGUAGCUGGUCUGAGAGGACGACCAGCCACACUGGGACUGAGACACGGCCCAGACUCCGACGGGAGGCAGCAGUGGGGAAUUUUGGACAAUGGGCGCAAGCCUGAUCCAGCCAUGCCGCGUGCAGGAUGAAGGCCUUCGGGUUGUAAACUGCUUUUGUACGGAACGAAAAGACCCUGGUUAAUACCUGGGGUCCAUGACGGUACCGUAAGAAUAAGCACCGGCUAACUACGUGCCAGCCGCCGCCGUAAAAC